rnacentral:rRNA from 1 species
UACGGGGGGAGCAAGCGUUGUUCGGAUUUACUGGGCGUAAAGGGCUCGUAGGCGGUUUGUCACGUCGGGAGUGAAAACUCGGGGCUUAACCCCGAGCCUGCUUCCGGUACGGGCUGACUAGAGGUAUGCAGGGGAGAACGGAAUUCCUGGUGUAGCGGUGAAAUGCGCAGAUAUCAGGAGGAACACCGGUGGCGAAGGCGGUUCUCUGGGCAUUACCUGACGCUGAGGAGCGAAAGUGUGGGGAGCGAACAGG